rnacentral:misc_RNA from 1 species
AGCCACCAGCAGCAGUUAGAGCGGGAGCGGUAGCGGUAGCAAAAGAACCGCAAGCAAGCAGCAAAAAAAAAGCACAGCGUAAGUUCUGAUUGAGAGAGCGCGGCAAGGCAAGGCAAGGUGUAUUUCCCAAGAAGGUGAAAACCACACGCAUAACCAAUACCUACAGCAAAUCGGGAACUGGCAAGGUCAGCAGCAGCGCCUCCUCAGCACCAGUUACACGCAC